rnacentral:rRNA from 1 species
UGCCAGCAGCCGCGGUAACACGGGGGGCGCAAGCGUUAUUCGGAAUUAUUGGGCGUAAAGGGCGCGCAGGCGGUCUUGUCAGUCAGGUGUGAAAGCCCGGGGCUCAACCCCGGAUGGUCACUUGAAACAGCAAGACUUGAGUUCGGAAGGGAGAGGCGGAAUUCCAGGUGUAGUGGUGAAAUACGUAGAUAUCUGGAAGAACACCAGAGGCGAAGGCGGUCUCUUGGUCCGAAACUGACGCUGAGGCGCGAAAGCGUGGGGAGCAAACAGGAUUAGAUA